UAUAUAUAUAUCUGUGUGUGUAGAGCUACUAUAUUUUCGGAAAUAUAAAAUAGUUGAAAUUUCUGAUUUUUUGAUUCUUCAAUUAAGAAUUGUAAAAUUGGAAUUAUAAUUGUCCCCCAUGGAAUUGACUGGUCCCUGGGAUUGAGUGGUCCCCCUAAAGUAAAAAUAUUAUUCCAAGGGCUUGAAAUGAUCAAAGUGUUUGAUUCAAGAGUUAAAAAAUUGAAACCACCAUAUGAGCGGCAUAAUAGGACUCUCUCUCUCUCUCUCUCUCUCUCUCUCUCUAUAUAUAUAUAUAUAUCAAAAAAUCAACCGAUUUUGAUUCUUUUACACCAUUAAACUAGCGAAUAUCGCAUAUCGACCGUUAAAAAUUAUCAAUUUUGUGACAUUUUGAUCGUAAGGUAAAUGAUGUCGAAAAAUUAUGAAAUUUGAUUUUUAUAAAUUUUAAAUGCUCAAGAUAAUGUUUAAUGAUAUGGAUCGUCGAUUCGGAAGCUCUAUCAUCGAAAACGACUUAUGAGUACGAGGACGAUCGUACUCAUAAGAGUAUAGUAGCUGAACUCUAUAUAUAUAGAGAGAGAGAGAUAGUUGGGCUAGAAUAUUAUUGAUAGCAAAAAAUUCUUUUUGUUAUCAAAUUUUUAGCCUUUGAAUCAACUCCUUUCCUUUCAUCAUUUUCAACAAUUGGAUUAACUAUUAUAACAUAGUGGGGACCACUCAACCCUAAGGGAUUAAUAUCAUCCUAAUCUUAAAAUUUUUUAUCCAAGAGUUAAAAACUUGAUAGCAAAAAUAGUCUUUUGCGAUCAACAGUAUUCCAGUCCAACUCUCUCUCUCUCUCUCUCUCUCUCUCUCUCUCUCUCUCUCUCUCUCUCUCUCUCUCUCUCUCUCUCUAUAUAUAUAUAUAUAUAUAUAUAAAGUUGAGCUAGAAUACUACCGAUAGCAAACGGGCUCCGUUGCCACCCAUUUGUUUUCGAUGAUAUAGCCUCCAAAUCGACAGUCGGUACCGUUGAACAUGAUCUAUACCACUUAAAGUAUUUAGAAAUCAAAUUUCAAAUCUUUUCGAUAUCAUUUACCUAAUGAUCAAAGGGUUUCAAAAUUUGUAAUUUUAAUGGUCGAUGUGAAGCGUUUUCUCGUUUAAUGGCAUAAAGAUAUUCAAAUCAAUUGAAUUUUUGUUAGAAAAUUUUUUAAACUAUUUAAAACAAGAUCUGUACUCUUGAUCUUGAUUACAAGACUCCUAUCAUCAUUUUUUAAAGAAUAUUAAUUUUCAGCCGUUCAUUUUUUAUGUCCACUUGAUGGAUAAGAAAAUAAUAUAAAAAAUGUAUGAAAUUUGAUUUCUAAACACUUCAAGUAGAAUAGAUCAUGUUCAACAGUGCCGAUCGUCGAUUUGGAGGCUCCAUCAUCGAAAACAAAUGGGUGGCAACGGAGCCCGUUUGCUAUUGAUAGUAUUCUAGCCCAACUCUCUCUCUCUCUCUCUCUCUCUAUAUAUAUAUAUAUGCUUUUAAAAGUACCAAGUCAUUGGUGCUUGUAAGUUUUCGGCCCUUGGAUUAAGGAAUGUGCGGUUACGAUGAUAUGGGCACCCUAGGGUUGAGUGGGUGGUUGGUUGAAUAGUAUAAUCUAACGGGUGAAAAUGAUCAAAGGUGUCGAUCUAACGGAAAAAAAUUUAGAAGCACCAAGUGCUUGGUGCUUUUAUAAGCACCGUAGCCGGACUAUAUAUAUAUAUAUAUAUUAGUAACAACUCUUAAACCAUGUUAUUUGAAAUUAAAAUUGAGUCAGUAGGGAAUGACUUAGGAAUAAUCUUUACAAGCCCUAAUUUUAUUUGGAUAUUGCAGCUUUUUAGUUUAGAUAGAUUCUGUAUGGCCCAUGGCCCUAUCUCUAAAAAACAGGCCAUUAGUGAUCCACCAGGAUCCAGGUUGUAAAGUUUGGUUUAACUAGGCAUAUCAAUGUGUAGGAAUACUCAAAAUUUUAUCCGAAUCUAAAUCUGAACGGAGCGAAUUUAUUCAAUUUUAAAUAGAUAUAAUUUUGGAUACGAAUAUAAAAAACGAAAGCACGGCGGAUUUGGGUUUGGAUAUAGAUUUUGUUUAUACUUGAGCUCGACCCAAACCCGAAUUGAUUUUGUAUUAUAGAAUAUAUCCUAUUUAUAUUUGAAUUUGUAUUUUAAAAAUUUAGACUUAAUAUAAUAUGUUUUGAAAUACGUUAAAGAGAAAUAAUUGUUUCGCAUUCGAAUUUCAGAAUUUUGGUCGGGUUCAGAUCUGGAUAUGGAUUUUUAAAAUCCGUUGAAUUUGAGUUCGUCUUCGGAUUCGGGUUUUGGAUUUGAUAUUUGGUUGUCCCGAAUCCGACCUGUUGACAUUCCACGGUUGACCAAAAGAGAGAGAGGGGAGGGACCUAAAAUGUUGGACCUCUUUAUCAAUGAUUCAAAGGAUCUGAGUCGUCAAGUUUGGCUUGAGUUGAUACAUUAACUGUUAGGAUUUAGUUAGAUUUGUAGUUGAAUCCUAGUUAAAUAAGAAUUAAUAUUUAAAUCUGUUGGAGAUAAAUUAAGAUUUAAAUAUUAAUUAGAGGAUAAACCUAACUAGAUUAGGAUUAAUAUUUAAAUCUNAGGAGACAAGCUCAAGGUGGAGCUUGCAUGGUGAGCUCGACGUGACGGUUGAAAAUUACAAAUCCAACCAAGGUAGAGAUUGUUAAGAUUUGGUUAGAUUUGUAAUUGAAUCCUGUUUGGAUAAUAAUUAAUAUUUAAAUCUGUUGGAGAUAAAUUAAGAUUUAAAUAUUAAUUAGAGGAUAAACCUAACUAGAUUAGGAUUAAUAUUUAAAUCUACUAGAGAUUAAUUAAGAUAGAUUUAGAUAUUAAUUAGAGUAGAAAUCCUAAAUAUACUAGAAUUGGGUACAUUCUAGUUAGAGCAUUAUAUAUAAUGCAUUAGAGUCUUUUUUUUGAAGGAGUACUGGCAUUGGUGUGUCGUACUAGAGAGAGAAAAAGAGAGAGAGUUAUUUUAGUGCACCUUGUGCACGGGUGCACGCUGAGAGGUCUUCUUUGUGGGUUCAUAGAAGACGAGAGAAAGGUAGGAAAGAUUCAAAAAGAGGGAUAGGGUUGUAGCUACUCUGUUGCAGAAGAGGAGUCAGGUGUAAUCUUCUCUUAUUUAAUGAAUCUUAUUUUACCCGCAUAUUUUCUGUUUUGGUUUUUUCUCUCUUUUAUGAUUGUAUCAACUUUUGCUGAGGAGACGGAUUUAUGGUAAAAACGCGAUUCAACGCUUCCGUUGCGAAAUCCCAACAAUCGAUACUGGACCCACAGCAGUCGGUAUCGGAGCGGGUUGCGGAUUCACGAGAUCCGGUACCGGGGUGAGUACCAGAUUCCUAACAAGUGGUAUCAGAGCCGAAGGUUACCGAUCUGCUGGAGAGAUCGACGGAGAUGGCCACGAAAUUCGAAAUCGAGAAGUUCGACGGCAAGACAAUUUCGGAUUAUAGCAAAUUAAAGUGCGAGCAAUCCUCGUACAGCAAGAGUUAGACGAGACGUUGAACGGGAAGGAGGCAAAGCCGGCGGAGGUCACGGAUGCAGCAUGGACGAAGAUGGAGCGGAAGGUGCUGAGUACGCUUCAUCUAUCAUUAGCAGAUGAGGUUCUUUACAAUGUAGCCGGCGAGACGACACCGGUGAAAUUGUGGAAGAAAUUGGAAGAUCUGUACAUGACCAAAUCCCUGACGAACAAAUUGUAUCUAAAGCAGCGACUGUUUACGUUGCGGAUGCAAGAAGCGGCGAACCUACAUGAUCAUCUAAAUGAGUCAACAAGGUGGUGGCCCAGUUGACCAGCAUCGGAGUCAAUCUGGAUGACGAAGACAAGGCAUUGAUCCUACUAUCUUCGCUACCGACGACAUAUGAGUAUCUGGUGACCACGUUGCUUUAUGGCAAGGAGUCCAUAAGCGUGGAUGCGGUCACGGCGGCGCUUCUCUCGAACGAGAUGCGGAAGAUGACUCAGGAGUCCGGCACGCAAAGUUAGGAUGUAGGACUGGUGGUGACUGCGAAGAAGGACGUGAGAAUAUCGGCGACCGGAUAUCGACAGAAGAAAUCGCUAUCUGAGGUAGAAUGCUUUUACUGUCACAGGAAGGGGCAUAUCAAGCGCAAUUGUCGAAAACUUCAGGAUGAUCUGAAAGAGUUAAAGCGACAGAAGGAGCAAACUGUCGUGAACCAGGACGAGACGGUAUCAGCGACGGCACAGAUAGCAGAGUCGGAGAUGAUCGAUUCUGAUGUGCUGUAUGCGGCGAUCGGAGGUGCGAAAAUUUCGGACGAUGCGUGGGUGCUCGAUUCGGCGUGUUCUUUUCACGUAUGCCCGGAGAAGGAGUCUUUUGCCACCUAUAAGCCGAUAAAAGGUGGAAAGGCGCUGAUCGGGAACGGGACAGCGUGCAAAGUAUUGGGAGUCGGCAUGGUGAAAAUUCGAAUGCACGAUGGGGUCGUGAGGACGCUGACAGGUGUGCGGCACGUUCCUGGAUUGAAGCGGAAUUUGAUCUCGUUAGGCGCAUUGGACUCGAAAGGUCGCGAUAUUUCGGCUUCAGGUGGAGCUAUGAGGGUCCGAAAACGAGAUCGGGUCGUGUGCGAGGCGAACAAGCGUGGGAACUUAUACGUUCUGAACGGGAGCAUAGUCUGAACGGAAGCAAAGACGGUUUGGGUUCCAAAAGUUCGUGGAGGUGCAGUCGCUCUAGGCGAAGCGACGGAUGCGGCGACAUCGAGCGGAGGAGACAAGCUCAAGGUGGAGCUUGCAUGGUGAGCUCGACGUAGCGGUUGAAGACUACAAAUCCAACCAAGAUGGAGAUUGUUAGGAUUUAGUUAGAUUUGUAGUUGAAUCCUAGUUAGAUAAAAAUUAAUAUUUAAAUCUGUUGGAGAUAAAUUAAGAUUUAAAUAUUAAUUAGAGGAUAAACCUAACCAGAUUAGGAUUAAUAUUUAAAUCUACUAGAAAUUAAUUAAGAUAGAUUUAUAUAUUAAUUGGAGUAGAAAUCCUAAAUAUACUAGAAUUGGGUACAUUCUAGUUGGAGCAUUAUAUAUAAUGCAUUAGAGUCUUUUUUUUGGAGGAGUACGGCUGGAACCAUUGGGGUAUCGUAUCAGAGAGAGAAAGAGAGAGAGAGUUAUUUUAGUGCACCUUGUGCACGGGUGCACGCUGAGAGGUCUUCUUUGUGGGUUCAUAGAAGACGAGAGAAGGGUAGGAAAGAUUCAAAAAGAGGGCUAGGGUUGUAGCUACUCUGUUGCAGAAGAGGAGUCAGGUGUAAUUUUCUCUUAUUUAAUGAAUCUUAUUACCCGCAUAUUUUCUAUUUUGGUUUUUUUCUCUCUUUUAUGAUUGUAUCAACUUUUGCUGAGGAGACGGAUUUAUGGUAAAAACGCGAUUCAACGCUUCCGUUGCGAAAUGCCAACAAUCGAUACCGGAUCCACAGCAGUCGGUAUCGGAGCGGGUUGCGGAUUCAUGAGAUCCGGUACCGGGGCGAGUACCGGAUUCCUAACAUUAACACCGUUCGAAGGACAUGUUUUUCACGUACGAACUCUGAUCACAACUAUUUUUUAUUGUACGCAUGCAAAUCGAGGAGAAGUAGUUGGGCUUCGGUAACCAAACUUAGUACACAAGUACUACUAAGUUCGGUAUAAGUUUUAGAACGUUUUCAGGUCCUUUCGGCCUUUGGAAUCAUAAUUAAAGUUCGGCUUGUCAUUCAACAAAAGUUUAAGCAAAGUUCGACUUUCCAUUCAAAAAAAAAAAAUUUAUCAUGAAUAUUUUUUAUUUGUAAGGAAUAGGAUUUCAUAUGUAGUAAAUUUUGAUGCACUCCAUCAAUUCUUUUCGUAUUAUUAGACUGAUUUUUCAAAAAAGAUGGUUGUAAUCUUUUUGAUAAAAAAAAUAAUGUAAUAAAAAUAAUAUUUAAUUUUGGCUAACAUCUCUUCUCUAUACUACUUUAAUUCCGCGGGCUUACCGAGUAGGCCCGGCCCAAAAUAGGGAUAAUUGCCUAUAUACCCCCUUAAAACUUUGAAAAUAUCUCAUUUACUCCUUUUUUUUUUUUUCUUUCCAAUAUACCCCUCAUAUGUUCUUCCAUUAUUCCAAAAUACCUCUACAGUUACUACUCGUUAGAUUAACUUGCUAGAGUUAAAAAAAAUCAAAAUGCUUAUUUUGCCUCAACUGAAGGGCAAAUAAGAAAUGUUGGUGAUUGUAGAAGGAUAUAUUUGAAGAGACUAAAAAUUAAAAUACUUUUUGUGCCCCUAACUUAAGAGCAAAUAAGAAAAGUUGGUGAUGGUGGAAGGGUACAUUUAAAAGGGCAAAAUAGUAAUUUUAUACAGAUAACAGCUAUUGCUAAUAGUUCAUUAAUUAACAGAAUUUAACUCUAGGGGUAUAUUUGAAAUAUAUUGGAACGUAAAAAAGGUAUUUUCAAAAUUAGCCUUCUAAGAAAGAUAAAUCAGAAAGUCGAGAACUUUUCAGGAGAAUAUAAACAAUUGUCCCUUAUAAAUAUUACUAAAAUUAUUUAAAAAAUAUGUAAAAAUCUAAAAUUAUUUAAAAAUUAUGUAAUUUUUCUUGUAAAUAAAUAAAUAAUUGUAUAUUUUAUAGAAAUAAUAUUAAAAAUUUUAAAAGUAAAUUUUUUAAAAAAUGACGAAUAUAAACAAUUGUCCCUUAUAAAUAUUACUAAAAUUAUUUAAAAAAUAUGUAAAAAUCUAAAAUUAUUUAAAAAUUAUGUAAUUUUUUUUGUAAAUAAAUAAUUGUAUAUUUUAUAGAAAUAAUAUUAAAAAUUUUAAAAGUAAAAUUUUUUAAAAAUGAAAAGAUUAAUUAAAACUUAAAAAAGGCCUUAGGCCUUAGAAGUUACACCAUAGGCUAAUUCGAGGAAUCUGAUCAAGAAGAUUCAAACAAACGCAAGAUUUUUUUUUUUUUUCGAUAAUAGUAGUUCUCGGUUACCUAAAAUAACCUAGUAUAACUAUCCCUACCAACAACUCUAUUUUUUAUAUAUAACUAUCCACUAUUUUUCUUAUUCCAUAUUAUCUAUCCAAAUUCUAUUUUUCUUAUUCCUGGAACAACUCAAUUUUUAUCCAAACGCUAUUUUUCUUAUCCCCAUACUUGUACCUAUCCCCGUAAUAGCUAGUUCAAUUUUAUUUUAAGAAAGAAUAGUUAAUCCGUCUAAUGGGGAAAAUUUUGUUUUGUUUAUUUAUUUUAAAUUCUAUAAAUAUUUAAAAAAAUUUAAAAAAAUGUAUAAAAAUAUGCAAAAAAAUUUAAUUUUUUUCCUCAAUAACCAAAAUAUUUUUUUAAAAUCUAAUUAAUCCCAUUAGUAAACCCUAAAAGGAUUACAUAUUUUGGAAUUACAAAUAUCCUAAAAUUUAGGAUUUUAUUAAGAAUAGAAUUAGGAUUUUUUUUUUAUAUAUAGAGACAGUUUUGGUAAAUAUUCUUUUUUCAUUUUUUUUUUAUCUUUGUAAUUUGUAUUUUUCAUUUAUGUAUAGUUUCCAUUUUUUAUUUUUUACAUUUUAUGAUCAGAUCAGCUACAGCAAUAAUUCCAAAAGGCCUUAGUUAACUUAAGAGAAAUUAUUUAUUAAUUAAUAUUUUUCCGGCUUCGGAAUUAUUUUCAUAUAAGGGCCCAUUUGGCAAUUACAUGAAUUAAAAAUAGAGUAAUCUGAAAAUUCUGAUUACUCUGAAAUAUUUUACUUUAUUUUUUCGUGUUCGGAUAAAAUGUUGUAUCUUUUACGGAAUAGAAAAAAUGGUUAGUUAGUGUUCGUUAGAGUAUUUUUAAAACUCAUAUACCUAUACUAUUAUAUACCCUAAGAUAUACCUAACUACUACAUAUACAAUAUUAUAAUAUAAUUAUAUAUAUAUAUGUAAUGUACGUGCAAAUGCACGUAAUAAUUAUUAGAAAAAGUUAUAAUUUUUUAAAAAUUUAUUUUUUAAUUUAGGCCAUAUUUUUAUAUGAUUGCAAAUGGUGUAACUAAAAAUUUAAAUAAUAAAUCACACUAUUAAGAAAGAUAUGCUUUAAAUGAUAAAAAAUUAACAAUAAUCUCUAAUGCAAAAAUUAUUUUUGAAAUUAAAUAGAAAAAUAAAAUCUGUUAGGAAAUAAAUUUUGAAAUUAAAUAGAAAAAUAAAUCCGUUAUCUUAAAAAGAAAAUAUAUUUUUGAAAUUAAAAAUUAAAUAGAUAAUAUCUAAAAAAGAUAUUUUAAAAUAAAAUAGGAAAAUAUCUUUUAUAGGAUUUUCACACUCGUAAUCUGUUAUAGAAAAUUUACUUUUGAUAUUAAAUAGAAAAAUUUAUAUUUUAGGAUUUUCACAUCAGUAAUGUGUAAUAGAGAACUUACGUAUUCAUUGCUAUUUUUAUUUCUAUUUUUAUUCUUAUAUUUAAAAUUUUUCGUACGGAAAGAGAAAAAUAUGCGCUAAUUUUCCCGCCGAAAAAUGGGUCUGUCGACAGACCUAAAUUUGAAUAUACGUGCUUUUAUAUAUAUAUAUAUAUAUAUAUAUAUAUAUAUAUAUAUAUAUAUAUAUAUAUAUAUAUAUAUAUAUAAAAGAUUGAUCGAACUCGCCGUUAUGAUGUUAUAAAAAUGAUAAAAUAGUUUUAUAAUAUCCAAAAUUGAGGCCUCAUUCAAUGAAGUGCUUACUAAGGCACAAUUUUAGAAUGCACUUUUAGGAGAAAGCAAAUUCAUUCAAAUCUCUUUAAAAAUAAUGUAAAAAUAAUAGUUGUGUGCUCAUAAAAUAACUAUUUACUCCAAAAUUUUAAGCCGUAAGAAAAUAAUAUUUUAAUAUUUGUAAUUAUUUUUUUUCAAUUUUCUGCUCGGAACUAAUUAAAGGAACCGGCCGUGGAGUUACCAAAUAUGCCUUAAACCCACGUAGCAUACUAGCACAGUAAAAACAAAAUCUUUCAUAGAUGAAAAAAAAUAAAAAUAAUCAUAAAAAAUAAAUAUAAAAAUAAAAAAAUAAUAAAACGAACAAAAAAACACAAGAACAUAGAAUUUAUAUGGUUCGGCUAAUAAUGACUCGACCUGUGUUCACGGGCAAAAUAACCUCAAUACGUUUUUUGAUUAAUUCACAGUAUAAAAAUAUAAAAAGUGAAAUUAAAUUAUAAAGUACUCUGUCUCAAAAGAUGUUCAAUUUUUUUUUCCUCCACUAGAGUGUCUGUGAAGAAGCUCAUAUAUCUAAAUAUGAAUUAGAUAUAUGUUGGGAAUCCGGUACUCGCUCCGGUACCGGAUCUCGUGAAUCCGCAACCCGCUCCGAUACUGACUGCUGUGGAUCCGGUAUCGAUUGUUGGAAUUCCGCAACGGAAACGUCAAAUCGGAUUUUUUACCAUAAACCCGUCUCCUCAGCAAAAACUGAUAUAAUCAUAAAAGAGAAAAAUAUGCAGGUAAAAUAAGAUUCAUUAAAUAAGAGAAGAUUACACCUGACUUCUCUUCUGCAACAGAGUAGCUACAACCCGAGUCCUCUUUUUGAAUCUCUUCUAUUAUUCUCCCGUCUUUUAUAAACCUAAAAUACAAUCCAUCUACGUGCACUCGUGCACUAGGUGCACAAAAUAACUCUCUCUCUCUCUCUCUUUUUCUCUUUGCGUACUCUUCCCAAAAAGAGACUCUAAUGCAUUAUAUAUAAUUAAUGCUCCAUCAAGAAUGUACCCAAUUCUAAUAUAUUUAGAAUUCCUACUCUAAUAAAUAUUUAAAUCUGAAUUGAUUUAUCUCCAAUAGAUUUAAAUAUUUAUCCUAAUCUAGUUAGAUUCAUUCUCUAAUUAAUAUUUAAAUCUUAAUUUAUCUCAAACAGAUUUAAAUAUUAAUUCUUAUCUAAAUAAGAUUUAACUACAAAUCUAACCAAAUCCUAACAAUAUAUCCUUGUCACGAGUUUUCAAAGUAAUUUGUAAAAUUCUCGGCACGAGUUUUAUGGUCAAAAAAUAGCUCCAUGUAUGUAGAUUAUUUUUUUUUGGAGGUAUGUGUUCACACGUGCCCUAAUUAAUAAUGUGAUAGAAGAAUUAAAUCAGAGAAUAUGACUCGCAUGUUCCUGCGUCGUGACAAAGUCCAAAGUUGUACCACACAAAUAAUUGGAGUAUAUAAUAAAUAUCUUAGAAAAUCUAUAAGAAUGCGAUGGAAGUAUCAGAAUCGAUGACCGGCACUACCUUAAAUAUAAUCUAAACUCUUAAAAGUACUUAGAAAUUAAUUUUCAUGAUUUGUCGACAUUAAUUACCUAUAGAUCCAAUAGUUUCAAAAUGAAUGGUGGGAAAUAAAUAUAUCUAAAAAUAAUGACAAAUGACUUAAAUUUCAGAUCAGAUAUACUGAUGUUGUUCUAAAUAGUAAAAGAAAAAUCUAUCAACAUUUUAGUGAAUUUGGAUUGUUAAUUAUACACCGUUUAACUUACAUUUAAUUAUAUCAUUAAGAUUAUUAAUUUUGAGACCUUUUGAUCACUAAUCAGGUGAUGUCAAAAAAAAUAUAAAAUUUAAUUUUUGGAUAUUUUCAAUAGCGUAGAUUAUUUCUAGCAAAGAGCUGAUCGUCGAUUUGAAUGUUUUAUCAUAAAAAAUAAUUUGACAGUACUAGGAGGCUACCUUACUGAGUAGGGAUCUAUUUGCACAAGCAGUUUUUAAGUCACGCCCUGCAUACUUUUUACACAAGCUAAAAUUUAAUUAUAAAAGUUUCAAAAUAAAGUUCUUAACUCUUAAAAGUGAUUUACAAUAAAAAAGACAGCUUUAAACAAAAAAUUAGAAUUUUGAGUUUUCAAAUUUGGCUAUUUUUGAAAAUUAUGAAUUGUUGAUUUUAACACCACUUGAUACAUAGGGAAUCAGUUUUCAAAAAUUGUGAAAUUUUAUGAGCAUACAUUCUAGAUGUUCUUAAUCAUAUUAAUUGGUUUAGGUCUUAAUUUUAGAUUCUCUAAAUUUGAAUUUACACUUGUGUAAAAAUUUGUGUAACUUACAGAGCACAUCUCUUGUACUUUCGAAAAUACGGAGACCUCCGUGCUUGUAAGUUGUUUUCGAUAAUAGGACAUCCAUUUCGAUGAUCGGCUCCGUUAGAUAUAAUCUAUCCUAUUGGAGCUAUUUAGAAACCAAAUUUUAUAAUUUUUUGACAUCAUUUACUGCGCGAUCAAAAGGUCUCAAAAAUGACUAUUUUAAUGGCUGAUGUGGCUCGUUUUUAAAUUCAACGGUGUGGAAAUAUCCAAAUUAUAUGAAAAUUUAAUAAAAAUUUUACUUAAUAUAAAUAUCAAGAUCAAUACUUCCAAUUUGAAAUUUGAAUCAUUUAUUACUAUUUUUUAUGAUAUUUUUAAUUUCAGCCAUUCAUUUUGAGGCUACUUAUUCACUAGACAAACGAAUUCAAAAAUUUAUGAAAUUUGGUUUCUAGAUAGUUCCAAUAGCAUAGAUCAUGUUUAAUGGAAUUGAUCACUGAAUCAGAUGUCCCAUCAUCGAAAACAACUUACAAGCACAGAGGCCUCCGUACUUUUGAAUGUAUAUGAGCUAGCUCGUUACUUACAUAAAUGUUACCUGAUCUCUAUACUCUCUCUCUCUCUCUCUUUCUAUAUAUAAAGAGAGAGAGAAAGAGGAGAGGGAGUGAGACCAUUGCAAGACUACCAUCGUAAUAAAUAGCUCGAUUUACUAUCAAUUUAUUUUCGAUAAUAGAGUUUUCAAAUCGUCGAUCGGCAUCAUUGAAAAUAAUUUAGAUCAUUUAAAUUAUUUAAAAACUAAAUUUUAUACUUUUUUGCUUUUAUUAAUUGAACGAUCAAAAGAUCACAAAAUUUUUAAUUUUAAUAGCUGAUACGAUGCGCUUGCUCGUUUAGAGUUGAUGUAGCGUAUUUGAAGUAUUUGGUAAAUAAAUUUUGCUAUUUUUUGAUAUUAUUUAUCUAGUGAUCAAAAGUGUUCAAGUCUAACGGAGCCGUUCAUCGAUUCGAAAGAUCCAUCGUAGAAAACGGCUUAAGAGCACGGAGGCCUCCGUGCUCCUAAUAUCACACAAGACCUGUCAUAUAUAAAUACAUAUAUAUAUAUAUAGAGAGAGAGAGUUGAGCUGCAAUACUAUUAAUAGUAUUUGAGCUUUUUUACUAUCGAUUUUUUAGCCAUUAGAUCUAUAUUUUAAUUAAUUCCACUAUUUAGAUCAUACUAUUCAACCAACCACCGCUAAACCCUAGGGGACCACUAUUAUCCUAAUCCCACAAUUUUUCAUCCAACGAUGAAAAAUUCGAUAGCAAAAGAGCCCAUAUAGUAUUCUAGCUCAAUUAUAUAUAUAUAUAUAUAUAUAUAAUUGAGCUCCUAUGCUUUUAAAAGUACCAAGUCAUUGGUACUUGUAAGUUUUCGGCUCUUGGAUUAAGGAAUGUGCGGUUAGGAUGAUGUGGUUGGGUGAAUAGUAUAAUCUAACGGGUAAAAAUGAUCAAAGGCGUAGAUCCAUCGGUAAAAAAUUUACAAGCACCAAAUACUUGUGCUUUUACAAGUACCAUAGCCGGACUCUAUAUAUAUAUAUAUAUAUAUAUAUAUAAUUACAUAUAUAUUAUAUAUAUAUAUAGUUGGGCUGGUAUGCUUAUGGAAGCACGGAGCCCUCCGUGUUCCAAGUUGUUUUCGAUGUUCGGACUUUCGAAUCGACGGAUCGGCUCCGUUAAGUUGAUCUAGAGUAUUUGAAGUACCUAGAAAAUAAAUUUUGUGAUUUUUCGAUAUCAUUUGCCUAAUGAUCGAAGGCUCCAAAAUCAAUAUUUUAAUGGCCGUGGUGAGCCGGUUGCAAGUUUAACGGUGUAGAAAUAUCUAAAUCAUAUGAAAUUUUGAUAAAAAAUUCUUUAUACUAUAUAAAACAAGAUCAAUAAUUUUGAUCUAAAAUUUUAUUGUAUAUCAUCAUAUUUUGUAAGAUUUUUAUUUUCAGCCGUUGAUUUGAGCCACUUCGAUCACUAGGCAAAUGAUAUAGAAAAAUCGCAAAAUUUAUUUUCUAGAUACUUCAAAUACUCUAGAUCAAGUCUAACGGAGCCGAUCAUCGAUUCGAAGUCCGAACAUCGAAAAUGAAGUGGAAGCACGGAGCCCUCCGUGCCUUCCAUAAGCAUUCUAGCCGCACUAUAUAUAUAUAUAUAUAUUAUAUAUAUAUUAUAUGAGAGAAUUCUGCUACUAUACUAUUAAUAGUAUCAAACCUUGGUACUUCGAGUUUUCGGCCGUCGAAUGAAAAGGAUGUGCGUUAAUGAUAGUGGUCCCUAGUUAAAUUGAUAGUGGUCCCCUAGGUUGAAUGUGUGGGUUGGUUUAAUAGUAUAAUCUAACAGGUGAAAAUGAUCAAAAGGUAGAUUAACGGUGAAAAUCAAUAGUAUAAGGGCUUGUACUAUCGAUAGUAUAGUAGCCGGACUCUAUAUUAUAUAUAUAUAUAUAUUAUAUAUAUAAUAUGCUCCUAUACUAUCAAUAGUACCAAGUCUUUGGUACUAUUGAGUUUUUGCGUUGGAUGAAAGGAUGUGCGGUUAGGAUGAGUGGUCCCUAGGUUGAGUGGGUGGUUGGUUUAAUAGUAUAAUCUAACGGGUGGAAAUGAUCACAUGGUAGAUCUAACGGUAGAAAACUCUAUAGUACCAAAGGCUUGGUACUAUCAAUAGUAUAAUAGCCGGACUCUUCUCUCUCUCUCUCUCUCUUCUCUCUCUCUCUCUAUAUUAUAUAUAUAUAUUAUAUAUAUAUUAUAUAUAUAGCUCGCCGGAAUACUAUCGAUAGUACUAAGCUAGCGUUUUGUAAUAUUAAGUUUUUCACUAUUUGAUUUACCUUUUACUAUUUUUAUCCGUUAGAUUAUACUAUUAAACCAAUAACUCACUCAACCUAUGAGGCCAUAUCAUCCUAAACGUAUAUUUUUUCGUCCAAUUGUCGAAAAUCUAAUAGCACCAAUAGCUUGAUGCUAUUAAUAGCAUUCCAGCCUAUUCUUAUAUAUAUAUACAGAGUUGAGCUAUUAAUACUAUCAAUAGCAAACGGGCUCCGUUGCCACUCAUUUGUUUUCGAUGAUAGAGCCUCCAAAUCGACGAUCGGCAUCAUUGAAAUAUGAUCUAUACCACUUGAAGUGUUUAGAUCAAAUUUCAAAUUUUUCAACAUCAUUUGCCUAAUAAUCAAAGGGUUUCAAAAUUUGUAAUUUAAUGGUCGAUAUGAGGCGUUUUCUUGUUUAACGGCAUAAAAAUAUCCAAAUCAAUUAAAUUUUUGUUAAAAAUUCUUUAAACUAUUUAAAACAAGAUCUAUACUCUUGAUCUUGAUUACAAGACUCUUAUCAUCAUUUUUUUAAGAAUAUUCAUUUUCAGCCGUUCUUUUGUGUCCCUCGAUGGAUAAAUGAACAAUAUAAAAAAUUGUGUGAAAUUUGAUUCUAAAUACUUCAAAUGGUAUAGAUCAUGUUGAACGGUGCGAUCAUCAAUUUGUAGGCUCUAUCAUCGAAAACAAAUGGGUGGCAAAAGAGUUCGUUUGCUAUCGAUAGAUCUGCCUCAACUAUAUAUAUAUAUAUAUAUAUAUAUAUAUAUAUAUAACAAUUAACAACUAUGAAAGUUCAAAUAUCUGCCUCAAAGAAUUCGAAAGAUGCAUGCUAUUGCGGAAAUAAGUGACAAUAAUUUUGUCGCCACUUUCGGCAUUUAAUGGCGACAUUUGAUAAAUUCGAUGGUAACUAUUUUUGUCACAUGUAGUGAGAAAAUUUCUUAAGGGAUUUAAGUAACCAAGAGUAAUUUUUCGUAUUCAGUUGGUGCGAAGCAGUUUUCAAUUGGUAUGUUAUCUUCUCAAUGAAGAUAUAUACAAGUCAAGAAAAGAUCACUCGGAUUUUAGCAGGCCAUAAUGUAGAAAGAUACACACUUUUUAAUUGGUGUUGAUUGAGUACUGAUGUAUCCUUUUGAGAGGAUUUGGGCUCAAAUUAUUAUUUUUAUCCCUUUAGUCAUAAUCAAUUUGAUGUUGUUUGAUUUGAUUAAUUUGACGAUCGGAACAGUUGAAAAUAUUUUAGAGUAUUUAAAGUGAGUAGAAACUAAUUUUUUUAGAAUUUCUCAAUUUAUGCAUUCUGCUCUAUAUCACGCUGUCUUAAAUUUGAUUAUUUUACAGAUUGAUUAGAUGUAACUUGGCCUCUUGACGCAGGCCUAAUUAAGGCACGUUGAAACGGAAGAAGUAUAAGGACAGAAUGAGAGAGAUUUAUGCGAAAAAACCAAUUCUUUCACAAAGACAAAAAUAUUAUCAAUUUAUUCUCAAAACUUUUAUUACAUUAACUGAGUGCCAUGUCUAUAUAUAUAGGCGAUACUCCAAUCCUACUAGAUAAAAUAAUAAAUUCUAAUAUAUUUUUAAAUCUAAUCAGAUUACAAAUAAUCAAAUAAUUGGAUCAAAAUAAAAAAAAAUAUAAUUUUUUUUUGGAAAUAAUCUAAAAAUGCCAGAAUGCAUGGCUUUGCCAUUCGACAUGUAGAUCUUAAAAAAUAUAUUCCAAAUUAGGAUUGCACGCUGAAAUCGAAUAUUCAAGCGAAAGUUUUAGCCGUUUAAAGAUAUCUAGGCUCAGUUUGGUUAAGUCGUGUUUUCUCAUAAACUCUAAUACUAAAUUAGCCGCAUCACCUCUAUACUUAAAACAUGCUACUCUUCUAUACAUGUGUAGAGUUUAUAGCACUACAAGCCUCUUCCGAUAUAUAUAUAUAUAUAUAUGACACUUUACGGAAUACAUUUAAGUAGCUAGGAUGGGAUGGAGGGCUGAGGGAGGAAAGGGUCGCGUUGGGGGACGAGUAGGGCGGGAUUGAAGGCGGAGAGUAGGAUGAGGGCGACAGUGACGAGGGCAGAGACGAGGGACAAGACGAGCAUUAUUGCGUUCGGUACACCGCCUUUCACCUCUUGUGCGUACUUCUCGGCCGCCAGUGCCAGCACCGUCAGUGGAAAAGAGUACGCCCACCAUGCCAGACUGAAGGUCCUCAUUGAUCGCCAAAAUAGCAUCGGUCGUGAGACCUGCAUAAAUAAUUGUGUUUAUUAGGUCAAUGUACAUACAUUAGGUCAAUGUGCAUAUAUUAUUGUGUUCACUUUUGUGACGACGGCAGAGUGCGACUCUUCUCUACAAAAAUUUUUUGAGACUGUGGUGAGCCACGUAAUUCAGUUCUUGCAUUAAUUUCUUUCUGUCUAAAAGUUUUUUGUCAAAAUCAUAACACCUUAUUAAAUAGCAGAUUUAGAAAACAUCACUAGAGAAAAAUGAGGUGGUCCUUAUUCAAGUUGUUUUUUUUUUUUGGGUGGGGCCGGAUGGAUGUAUGCAUGCAUUUCUCAACAUGCAAUUAAUGGGCGAAUUUCUUUGCCUAUAUAAAACAUAUAUCUCAUAAUAUUAAUAGAUAUAUUAAAAUCAAAAUAUAACUCAUUAAUGCUUCAACUACUAAUUAUUGAGACUAAUUGAUUCCUUAUUAGUAACUAGUUUCGCACUUAAAAAUUUUAUUCAUAUAUUCCUUAGAUAAUGUACGUAGAUAAUAGUUAUCAUAUUAAUAGAUUUUGAUUUUGAAAUUUUAAUAGCCAAAUAGCAGGUGCAAACAUAUGAAGUGUACAUCUAUAGACACCACGUGGAGGCAAUAAUUCUCAUGCAUUGAUGGAUUCAUAUAUAAGCAAGUUAUUGCGUGCGCAAACACGACUUAAAUCAUAUUUAAUCAUAAUCAAUUUGGAUACCCUCUUCCCAGAAAAUCAAAAGAUUCUGGAAAUAAAUAAUCACGUUUAUUUUUUUAAAAUUAUUUUUGUAUAUAUAUAUAUAUAUAUAUAUAGAGUUGAGCUAUGAUACUUUUACAAGUAUCACCAUCAUUGUGCUAUUAGGUUUUAAGCCAUUGGAUCUACUUUUUGAUUAUUAAUAGUCCUUGGAUUAAACACUAUUUCACCUACCACCACCUACCACCAUCAUCUCAACCUCACAUCUCUCCAUCCAAGGGCUAAAAACACACAAGUAUCACCCCCAUGAUACUUUUACAAGUAUUCUAGCCCUACUCUCUCUCUCUCUCUCUCUCUCUCUCUCUCUCUCUCUCUCUCUCUCUCUCUCUCUCUCUAUAUAUAUAUAUAUAUAUAUAUAUAUAGCUAGGUUGUUAUACUAUCAAUAGCACGAAGAUCUCCGUGCUAUCAAUUUAGUUAUUUUUGAUGAUACGGUUUUCAAAGUGAUGAUCGGUUUUCUUAAACACCAUCUAUGCUAUUCAAAAUAUUUAGAAACCAAAUUUUAUAUUUUUUUCGAUAUUAUUUAACAAUUUUAAUGGCCGAUGUAAUGCGUUUAUAAAUUUAACGGUAUAAAACAAUUCAAAUCUAAAGAAAUUUUUAUAGAAAAUUCUCUUCACUAUUUACAGUAAGAUCAGUAUCUCUGAUUUUAAAUUUAAAUUUUUUAUCAUUAUUUUUUAUGAGAUUCUUAGUUUCAGCCGUUCAUUUUUAGACUACUCGUUUGAUAAGUAAAUGAUGUUGAAAAAUUAUAAAAUUUAGUUUUAUAAUAUUUUCAAUAGAGUAAAUCAAGUCUAGCAGAGCCGAUCGAUCGUCAAUUUGAAAGCUGCGUUAUUAUUAUUAUUAUUUUUGAAAAAUAGGUAAUAUGCUACCCGCUUCAUUUAUUUUAUUUAGAAAUAAAUUAACUUAGCUGAAACUAUGAAUCAAGUAGGAUUCGAACUUGGAAUCUCAGAUACCAACCACCAAUCCCUUUGCCACAUGCUCUAGGGACAGUUGGUGAAAGAUGCAUUAUUAAAAAUAAUUUAGUAGCACGAACACCUCUAUACUACUGAUAUAGUAUACCAGCUAUAUUUUCUCUCUCUCUUUAAAAUAUACACAACUACAUGAUAUCACUUACACUGAUGUGUAUUUCGAGAUGUGAAAGUAAACAAUCAUGUUUACUUUUAAAAAUAUUCUAACUAACCUAAUUAUUUGUAUAUUUAGAGCAAUAUAUGAUGUGGUAUACAUUGACCAUCUCUUACGCAGGUGAUAAAAGGCUUAAAUUGUCGGUAUCCAAAAUCCCUGAUUAGUUGAGCUAAGUUAUUUAAUGGUUGAUAUCUAAAAUUCCAAAUUCAAAAUUUAAUUAACCUAAUUAACUUUAUUUCUUAAAUAAAAAAAAACACAGGCCUAAAAAAUAGAGAAAAAAAAAAAGACAAAGAACAUGAUGUCACAAAAAAACAAAAGAAGCUACGUACUUCCCCCUUGUGCACGUGUUUUUAUUUUUAUUUUUUAUUUUUUUCUUUUUGGUCUAAAUAUUAAUUUGACAGAUAAUUUUGUUUUUGUUUUUUUGUUUUCGUGGUCUAAACUUUUGACAAAUAAUUUUGCCUUUUUCUUAGAACCUGGACUGCUGUUUUCCUACGCAAGCUAGCUGGAGACCUCCUUUGACAAAUUAAGAAGAAUCCUAAAACCUACAUUAUUUUGGCCUCUCCUUGAUAUUUGCAUUUUAAUUAAUGGUUUAAAUUUUCAUAUAUUUUUUUUACCGUACACCUCUUUUGUCAUCUUUGUAAUUAGCAGUGCACAAUGACGUAUUUGUUUCUUACUAGACCACUCUUUUGAAUAAAAGAUGAAAAAUCAUAUAUAUGUUACUCGCGCGUAUUUGGUGCUUCUGUAUAUUCGUGCACCAUAUAUCUAUACUAAUAUAUUAACUACUACAAAUUCAUGAUUUAGCGGCAUUUACUCUGCAGCAUUUAUUUAAAUAAUGCUAAUUAAUAUAUUUAACAGCAUUACUUGAUAAGUGCCGCUAAAUUUAAUAAUUUAGCAGUAAUUUACUGUUAAUGUUGCAAAAUAAAAUAAAUUAGCAGUAUAAAUUAGUGAAUGCCGCCGAAGUUUUCAGCAUUUUAUAAAAAAUGAUACUAAAUAUAAUAAAGUAGUAGCACUUAUUGCUAAAUGGCGCAAUAUUUGCUCCGCGAUAUUUAUUUAAAUCAUGUCAAUUAAUAUAUUUAGCAACAUUACUUGAUAAUUGCCGCUAGAUUUAAUUAUUUAGCAGCAAUUUGCUAUUAAUGUUGUAAAAUAGGAUAAAUUAGCAGCAUAAAUUAGCGAAUGCCGCUAAAUAUAAUAAACUAACGGCAUUUGUUACUAAAUAUCAUUACUAAUUAAUAUAUAAUUAUUAAUAAUUCCUUUUUUAUUUAGAAUAAAAAAUUUUAAAAUUAAAGUUUAAAAGUUGAAACAUAUAAGUUUAAAAAUUAAACUUAUAAUUUAAAAUUUAAAAUUCUAAAAUUUAUAUUUUAAAUUUUAAAUUCUAAAAUUAUUAAUUUUAAAAUUUUAAAAUUUUAAAUUUAUUUUAAAUUUUAAAUUUUAAAUUUAAAACUAUUAAUUUUGAAACUUAAAAUUUCAUAUUUCAAAAUUUAAAAUUUAAAUUUAGUAUCUAAAUUUUAAAAUUUUAAAAUUUUAAAAUUUUAAAAUUUUAAAACAGAAGACUUAAAAUAUAAAAAAUUAAAAUAUACAUAACUAAUAGUCGCUAGAGUAAGUGGCAAAGGAUUUGGUUGUUGGUAUUCGAGGUCUCAAGUUCAAAUCCUAGUUGAUUCACAAUUUUAGUAAAAUUUAAGACAAAAACAAAUAAAUGAAGCGAGUAGCAUCUCAAAAAAAUUAAAAUUUUAAUUCUAAAAUUUUAAAAUUUUAAUUCUAAAAUCAGAUAUUUGUAUUAGCGGUAUUAUAUUUAUGUGCCUCUAAUAAAUAAUUUAAAAUUAGCAUUUAAUCCCUUUUAGUGGCAUAUUCCUAAUGACACUAAUUAAUUUAUAUUGGCGGCAUUUAUAAUUAAUAUUGCUAAUACUUUUAGCAACAUUGGCAUAGACAGCAUUUGUGUCAUAUGCUGCUAAAAUUUUUAACAAUAUUUGUUGAUCAUUUAGCAGCAUAAAUAAAUGUCACUAAUGCCUAAUUAAUUUUCUAGUAGUGAUAUAUCAUAAUUUGCUUUUCAGGAGAUUACCAAUCGCUGAGACUACGGUUCAAUCGACGAGAAAUUAUUCUUAAAUCUUGGGAUAUUACAAUAUAUGUCAUUUUCUACCGCUUUGGUUUUUAAAAAUUUUUUAAAAAAUUCUUAUUUUUAACUUAAAAAGGACGUAAAGUAAUUUUUCAGCCGGAAUUGAAUGUGUCACGUACCAGGCAAAGGAAGAGGAAGAAUGAGAGGAAGAAGAGCAUCUUCGCGGCGGUGUCGAAGCCACCGCUGCCGGAGAUGGCGGCCCAGGCAACGCUGGCGGUGGCGGGGGCGGCGAAGAAUAAGAAGAACACCGGGCGGAGCAGUGCCGGGAGGAGGCUCUCGCUCCCCGCGAGGCGUUGGUACAGCGUCACGAAAAGUACGAGGUAGUGGGCCAAGCCCACCGUAAACAUGCACGUCGCAAUCUCCUUCAAGUCCGUGUCCGUCGUCGCCGCUGCCGCCGCCGCCGCCAUGUUCGCGAUCACCGUCAUCUGGCUCGUCGGGUUCGCCACCGCCGACAGGCAGUACCUCCGGCCCCUUAUAAACCACUGCCCGUACACUUUCACGUCCAGCACCAGAAUUGGGACCGCAAACNACUCUUAGAUAUUUAUUUGCAUUCAUUAAUUAUUAUUUUGUUGUUCUCUUGAAUGCUGCUGUCAUAAUACUAGUAUUUUCUAACGGUUUAAGUUAUUAAAAAGAAAAUUGGUAGAAAUGUACAAAACAUAAUUAAAUUAUAAAUUAUUUUGAUUUGGUUAUUUAAUUUUUUAAAAAUUUGAUUUCAGUAUAUAAUCUUUCUGUCUGUUUGUUUUGAAUCAGUCGCGACAUUUUAAGCAUAAAGUUUAUUCAUUAAAAUGUAAAAAUAAACAACACAUUUAAAUUUUAAAGUCAAAGUGUCAAUCACUGGCUCAAAAUAAAAUGUAUGCAUGCAUCUAUGUAUAGAGAGAUAAACAGUUAUUUUAUAUGUACUACAUACCAGAGGACGUGGUACGCGGGGCUCUCGGGACGGAGGAAGGGCGAGGAGGCGCACUGGAGGAGGAGGAGCGCGGAGGCCCAUGGGGCGAAGAGGUAGUUGACGCCGAUGUGGUGGCCGAGCUCGGCCUUAAAGCACUCGAAGCGGCAGGUGCAGCGAAUUGCGUAAAGAGCACAAAGCACGACGAGGGACGACAGUGCGAAGGACCAGAGAACGUCGAAGGCGGCGACGGGGAGGAGGUGGAGGAUAAAGUGGAGCGCCCGAGGGUCGGCGGCGGAGAGGGUCUUCCAUAGUAGGGCUUGGCCGCAGAGGGAAAGGCUUAUGCGAAAGUAACCCGCGUGGAAUCUCGUUAAAACUGACAGCUUCUGCAUAAGUGCUUUUUGAACAUGUUCUUCUCCGGGGGGAUGCAGAUUUUCUGAAUAUCGAUGCUCCAUUAGUUACUUGCUAGAGAGAGAAUGAAGUAAAGAGAGAGAAUGAAGUAAGGGGAUAGCAUACAAUAUUGGUUGUUGGUAAGUUCUAUUACUUAUUUGCAUGUAUUUAUAGAGAGGGGGGAGAGAGAGAGAGAGAGAGUAUAUUAGGUGGAACACACAAUUAAAAAUUGAAUUGAGAACACUGAAAGCAGGGGCGGAGCCAUUGGGGGCCACAGUGGUCAUGGCCCCCCUAUAUCUUUGAAAAUUACAUAUUAGUCCUUUAUAAUAAAAAAAUAAAAUAUUAUAAAUUUUAAUUUUAAGGGGCCAAAUUAAUAUUUUUAAUAAAAUUUGUGUCUUAAUUUUUUUUCAAGUUUUUUGGUUCUUUUUCUUCAACUAUUACAGUCUUAUUCCUCUUUAAGCAUUUUGUCGUUAUUAGUGAAUCUGACAAUUUUUUUUUUUUUCACUAUUCGUGGUCGAAUUUUUCUCCUAUCAAAAUUUAAAUCUUGGCCCUCCCGAAUCUUAAUAUCUCGCUUAAAUUUGUCCCUGAGUGAAAGUGAUGCAAAGGUCAAACUAUGUAUUCAAAUGCAUCAAUGAGGUUUCUAUGAGAAAUAUGUAACAUUCCAAUCAAAUUUUGAUAGUUUUGGUUGAAAAGUUGAAUUAAUUAAACAUAUAUAUAUAUAUAUAUAUAUAUAUAUAUAUAUAUAUAGUAGAGGUAUUAUACUAUCGGAAGUAUAAAAAAGUUGGUGCUUUCGAUUUUUUAGCCCUUAGAUGAACCCCAUUGAUCAUUUCUAACCAUUGGAUUAAUAUUAUUAACCAAUGGGGACCACUCAACCCUAGGGGGAUCACUCAACCCUAAAGGGACCGCUAUAAUCCCAAUCGUAGAAUUUUUGAUCCAAGGGCUAAAAAAUCAGAAGCACCAACUACUUUAUGCUUCCAAUAACAUAGUAGCUCUACACUAUAUAUAUAUAUAGUCUAGUAUUAUACUAUCGAUAAUACUAAGCACUUGAUGCUAUCGAGUUUUUCGCCAUUAGAUCUACCUCUUCAAUUAUUUCCACCCAUUAAAUCAUACUAUUCAACCAAUCACCUACUCAACCCAUGGAGCCACUAUCAUCUUAACGUAUAUACAAUUAGGCUACUAUACUAUUA
rnacentral:lncRNA from 1 species